AUUGAACGCUGGCGGCAUGCUUUACACAUGCAAGUCGAACGGUAACGGGCCGCAAGGUGCUGACGAGUGGCGAACGGGUGAGUAAUGCAUCGGAACGUGCCCAGUCGUGGGGGAUAACGCAGCGAAAGCUGCGCUAAUACCGCAUACGAUCUCUGGAUGAAAGCGGGGGACCGAAAGGCCUCGCGCGAUUGGAGCGGCCGAUGUCAGAUUAGGUAGUUGGUGGGGUAAAGGCCCACCAAGCCAACGAUCUGUAGCUGGUCUGAGAGGACGACCAGCCACACUGGGACUGAGACACGGCCCAGACUCCUACGGGAGGCAGCAGGGGGGAAUUUUGGACAAUGGGCGCAAGCCUGAUCCAGCAAUGCCGCGUGCAGGAAGAAGGCCUUCGGGUUGUAAACUGCUUUUGUACGGAACGAAACGGUCCGGGCUAAUACCCUGGGCUAAUGACGGUACCGUAAGAAUAAGCACCGGCUAACUACGUGCCAGCCGCCGCCGUAA
rnacentral:rRNA from 1 species